rnacentral:rRNA from 1 species
AGUGAACGCUGGCAGUAGGCCUAACACAUGCAAGUCGAACGGCAGCACAGGAGAGCUUGCUCUCUGGGUGGCGAGUGGCGGACGGGUGAGGAAUACAUCGGAAUCUACUCUGUCGUGGGGGAUAACGUAGGGAAACUUACGCUAAUACCGCAUACGACCUACGGGUGAAAGCAGGGGAUCUUCGGACCUUGACCGAUUGAAUGAGCCGAUGUCGGAUUAGCUAGUUGGCGGGGUAAAGGCCCAACAAGGCGACGAUCCGUAGCUGGUCUGCGAGGAUGAUCAGCCACACUGGAACUGAGACACGGUCCAGACUCCUACGGGAGGCAGCAGUGGGGAAUAUUGGACAAUGGGCGCAAGCCUGAUCCAGCCAUACCGCGUGGGUGAAGAAGGCCUUCGGGUUGUAAAGCCCUUUUGUUGGGAAAGAAAUCCAGCUGGCUAAUACCCGGUUGGGAUGACGGUACCCAAAGAAUAAGCACCGGCUAACUUCGUGCCAGCCGCCGCGGUAA